GAGAAACUCUCCUUCCAGAAAUACAGGCAUGCAUCUGGCUUCCUUCUCUUUUUCUCUAUUGGCCUUUUAUUUGGCGUUCUGGAUUUCAUUUAACUUUUUAAAAACACUGAAGUAUGAUUUUUAGUUUGAAUAAAAAAGCAGUGAUGUAGUAACCUGUGAUCUUCCCCUUUAAGGGUGGCUUCAAUAGGGCACAGAGAAAGAGAGAGCAAUGCUGUCUUGGCAUUCCAAACAGCCUGGUUGGUUGGUCACAUGCCCACCUUAUAGUGAAGUCUAUCAAGGCUUUGCCAGGAGGCUAAGAGUGGGUUCAACUUUUACAAAAACACAAGAGCUGCAUGAGAAAGACCAGAUAGAUGACUGCCUAGGCAUAAGAGUCCUGAAUUAUUUUGAGAAAAAUGAAAGCAUGAGAAUGGAUGCUGGGUCAACUGUCAAGUUUCCACCACCGUUGAUUAUUUAAAUUUCUGCCAUUGACUGCAUGCAGGGGAGAUACCAAAAACUAUUUAUCUGUCUGCAUGUUUAUGCAAUCAACCAAUCUGAAAGGACCUGGCUUUCAGUGGAGAAGCCUGGCUCCCAAGGGUCUCUUGUUUGCAAGGUGUUAACUCCUUAGUUGCUAUAUUGAAGUGUCCAAAAGCUACUAGGGAAGGUGACAGAAGACCAUGAUAGAGUGGGGCACUCAGAGGACACAGGGCAGUGGCAAUUUACCAACUGAAGCAGAAAUAUAUCAAUAUAUUUUAACAACCUUUAUACUUGUACCCAUGUGUGCCAGCUGAAUUUUUUUUUAAAACCACAAUGUGAUUUUGCUUCUGAAUAGACUCUCCAUUUCUCUUAGUUUUCUCAUUUUAAAAAUGAGUGGAUUGGAUUAGAUGAUUUUAAGAAUUCCUCUGAAAACAAUGUUUGUGUUGUAGUCUAUAACAAUUUAUAUAAAUGACCCUUUAAUUCUAUCAUGUACAUUGUGAUAUGUUUCAAAUAGAAUAUCGUAAGCAGUUGUUACACAUUUUAAAAUGCAGAGAACCAAAUUUCCAUUUGAAAUUUGGCACGUUAAAUUUAACUGAAUUUAAAUUUAACUGGAUCUGCAUGCUGAAAUUUUCAAAUAGAUUGUUUUUAAGACCAUGAGGGAUUUCUUGUUGUUUCUCAUUUUCUGUGUUUUGCUUGUAAAAUGUGAGAAAAAGACAACCAACUUAACACCUUAAAAACCACUAAUGUUGUUUUGACCUUAACGAGAACUCAGGAGGCACAAAAACAGAAUUGGCUAAAGGAAAAUUAGAGUUAAGAUGGAAGCCAUUCAUUCGCCUAAGGAUGGUUCAGUGGCUGAAGUCAUUCAUUUCCGGCAGCUGCCGUUGGCCAGGUUACCCAAGGAUGGAGAGAGAGGAAGGGAGUAGUAGACACAGGUCAUUCCCACUUCCCCACCCCGACAGGUUCAAAUGCCCUCACAGGUAUGGGUUUUUCUCCAGGGUUUCACCUGCUACUAUAACACUUCCUGAGAAGUCUACCCAAUCUCUUAGGUUUUUACCUGGCUUGUCAUCUUAGAUACAAAAACCUCAGAGGACAAAUUUUUUUACUAAAAUAAAUGGGAAAUCAGCGACAAUGAUGAUGCUGUUUCCUCCCUCCCUCCCCUUUCUUUGUCCUCCUUUACCCAUCUCGCCCAAAUCAGUUGAUCGUCCCAGAGGGCAGGGUUGCAGGCACUAAAAUUAUAGGCAAGAGGAAAGAGUAAUAUAGAUUAUCUUUUUCUGCAGAGACGUGAGUGUUUGUAGUAUUCUGAAUUUUUGGUCUGUCCGAUGGAGCAUUUCAAGCAUUUGCAGAUCUAGACUUGUGGAUUUUUCUGAACAAGUUGCCAGAGCUAUCAAAAUUAAGAAAAGCUCUUGACCUUUGAAGAGAGAACUUCUUGUCUAAAGCUAGCAUUUUCUCCUAUCUUCAGAGCAAAACCGGUGGCUAAGUAGAUCCCUAAGUCCCCCUCCUUCUCUUUAUAUAUAAUUUUUGAUAUAGUUGUAUGUAUAUACACAUCUACAUUAAUCAACUCAGAUGAAAAACUUUACUAAGAGAAACUUCUAAGGGAAAAGAGCCACAGGUAUAGGGAUGAAUGAUCUUAUCUUUCUAAAUGUGUUUUCUCUUAUAGCACUGGAUAUAGAUAAAAUGCGUUCAUAAU
rnacentral:lncRNA from 1 species